UUAGGUCGACCCGCUGAAUUUAAGCAUAUCAGUAAGCGGAGGAAAAGAAACUAACAAGGAUUCCCUUAGUAAUGGCGAGUGAACAGGGAAUAGCUCAGAACCGAAUCCCUCAGCUUUUAGUUGUUGGGAAAUGUGGUGUUUGGGUUUGCUUUCGCGGCGGUUUGCUCAUCGUAGAUCCACAUGAUUGUGGUUCAUUGCCCAUAGAGGGUGUAAGGCCCGUAACGAUGAAGUGACUGCUGCUUGGGCAAAACCCUAGAGUCGGGUUGUUUGGGAUUGCAGCCCAAAGUGGGUGGUAAACUCCAUCCAAAGCUAAAUAUGAGCAUGAGUCCGAUAGUAAACAAGUACCGUGAGGGAAAGUUGAAAAGGACUUUGAAGAGAGAGUUCAAUAGUACGUGAAACCGCUCAGAGGUAAGCGGGUAGAGCCCAAAUUAGCUUGUGGUUUUAGAUUCUUCUGAUGCUAGCAUGCUGCUUGACGGACUUGUCUGACGUCGGUGGUAUGACUGGGUGUUGGUUGGUCGAUUGCCACUUGCUUUAACUACCAUCAGCGAGUGAUGGGUUGGCUGUGGAGUUGCUGCUGGCCGGUGCUUUUAUUAGUGCUGGUUUAGACACUUUGCGCUUGCCUGUUGGUUGCUGGGCUAAACGACAUAAUUUGUGCAAGUGUACGCACGAUUCGUUAACUGGCAGGUGACUCCCAAAGAGUUGCUUUGCUUGUUAGUGGGUUGACGUGUGCAUCUCUGUGCUUAUGUCAGCAAUGGUGGUUAUUUGUAGGCCGUCUACCCGGCCCGUCUUGAAACACGGACCAAGGAGUCUAACACAUACGCGAGUCAUUGGGUAGUACGAAACCUACUGGCGUACUGAAAGGAAAGGUCUGCUUUGGUAGACUCAGGUGAGAUCUGCGUUCUCUUGGGGAUGCAGCGCAUCACCGGCUCGUCUCAUGCUUUUUAAGUGGGGCGAAGCAAGAGCGUAUGUGUUGGGACCCGAAAGAUGGUGAACUAUGCUUGCGUAGGCUGAAGCCAAGUGAAAACUUGGUGGAGGGCCGAAGCGCUUCUGACGUGCAAAUCGAUCGUCAAACGUGAGUAUAGGGGCGAAAGACUAAUCGAACCAUCUAGUAGCUGGUUACUUCCGAAGUUUCCCUCAGGAUAGCUGGCACUCGGGAAACAAACAGUUUUAUCCGGUAAAGCGAAUGAUUAGAAGUAUUGGGGGUGAAAUGCCCUCAACUUAUUCUCAAACUUUAAAUGGGUAAGAUGCUCCACUCGCUUGACUGGAGUGGGGCCAUGAAUGUGAGUGCCCAGUGGGCCAUUUUUGGUAAGCAGAACUGGCGAUGUGGGAUGAACCAAACGUGGCGGUUACGGUGCCUGACAUGACGCUCAUCAGAUACCACAAAAGGUGUUGGUUGAUAUAGACAGCAGGACGGUGGCCAUGGAAGUCGGAAUCCGCUAAUGAGUGUGUAACAACUCACCUGCCGAAUCAACCAGCCCUGAAAAUGGAUGGCGCUGGAGCGUCGGACCUAUACCGCGCCCUUACUGCGAUGCAUGGCAUGGAUGUAGUAAGGAGUAGGAAGUCGACGAGGUAAGCAUGGAAGCUGCGGUCGUAGGGCCGAGUCGAGCUGCCUCGUGUGCAGAUCUUGGUGGUAGUAGCAAGUAUUCAAGUGAGACUCUUGAAGGCCGACGUGGAGAAGGGUUCCAUGUGAACAGCACUUGAACAUGA
rnacentral:rRNA from 1 species